rnacentral:tRNA from 1 species
UCCCUGGAGGACUAGUGGUUAGGCGUCGGCGCUCUCAGUGCCACGGCCCGGGUUCAAUUCCCGGCCAGGGAA